rnacentral:lncRNA from 1 species
CACGAAAAUAGCUUAAAAUACUAAAAUAACUACGAACUAACAACAUAAAUGCCAAGAAACAAGCUAACUAAGUCACAUAAAUAUGCUCCUAUCAAAUUCCCCCACACUUAGCUUUUGCUAGUCCUCAAGCAAAAUAAAACAAACAAAACAAAACAAAACGAAACACAACCUAGUCCUUCCAACAAUUGCCUCAGGGAUUUUUAAUGAAACAUGACAUGUUAAAAAUUAUCAUUCCCACAGAUUUUGGUCAUCUUCACACUUGAGCACAUACUUAAUCACAAUCACCACUUACUAGUUCACAAUUAACCAAUUAAAAUGAUGUUUUGAAUGUAGUAACAUGCCUUAGAGAAUUUGCUCAAUUCCUUACAAGAUACUCUCUAUUUUCACACAUUUUCUGACUACACACCCUACACUAGUUAUAUGUGAGAAGAUUGAUGUAAACACGAAAGACUAGGACUCACAUAUGUUAUAACAAAGAAAGCAAUUUUCUGGAGUUAUUAAGCAUGUUUAGAUAUGAUCUCAUGAAUGGAAUGCUACUACUUAGAUGCGAGAACCAGUGACACCAUAUGCUCAUACCAAUUUCGAACUCCACAAAUUGAAACACACAACACUCAAGAUUGAAGUCAAGGGUUGUAACAGGGCUUAGGGGUAAUGGCUAACAAAGAAAGGAUAGGGAUAACAAACGUUCUUAAAGCGAUAGCAAGCAAAGCAAUGAAAUAGACACUUGGAAAUCACUUUAUAAUGCAAAAUCAACUUUUAAAUACAAAGGGAAGAUUUAUGCAACACUUAGGGCCGAAUUCAAUAUUUUGGACCCUUUCUUUAACGAACAACACUUUAGAGCUCUUUUUCAUACUCUUUUCAAUUUUUUUUUUCUUUUCUACCCGUGCCUUAUUAAGGACUUUGGCACACACACAUACACAAAAAUCACUUCCCCCACACUUGCUCUCUGCAAUACAUUGAUAAAAAAGGAGUUUAUUUUAAGUCAUGCUUUACUAUGCUUUAAGACUAAGGGUAUGGAUGGUCCUAAAACUAGGCUAGGUAAGGAUAGUGUGGGUUAACAAAGAACAUAGGCUUAACAAGGCUCAACGGGGUUAAACUUAAGCACAUAAUGAAAUAGGGGCACGACAAUUUGGCUUUGGUGGUCAGUACACAACUUCAUCUUGAAUAUGUGUUAUGCAAAUCAAUAGCAUGCUUUGAAUGAAAUAGGCAUGAGUUCUAGCAUUUGGAACUAAAUGAUGAAACGCCUUCUAAGUAGCAACCAAGCAAAGAAUAAUGAGAUCAUGCAACGACUUUAGAAAACAAUGAUGCAAAGAUUAUUAACUUUCCAGAUAAACGUUUAGGCUCAAGUCUCACAAGGUUGUAGCGUUCAUUUGAGUUCCUUCCUUCAAGCAUGUUACAAAAACUGAUUUUUCCAUUAUGAUUGCAUGUGAAUUCAUAAAUUAUAACCACAACCAAGCAUACACCAAAGAGUAAAUCAAAUUUUCAUCCAUAUUUAUAACUCUCUUUAACAGUCAUGUAAUUAAAAACCAAAUCCUCAUCAUUGUGUUGGAAGGUACCCUAAGACACAAAUAAACACACAAAAACAACUCUUUUUUUUUUGGGUUUUUCAAAACAAUUUUUCAAAAUUUUAUGAGAUUUUCGGAUUUUUAUAUCAAAACACACUAAAACACUCCAAAACAGCAUAAAAACACUUAAAAAUAGCAAGGAACAACACUAGAAGUAAUGGGUGAUAAACUCCCACGAAUUUCAUGCAAAACAACUUGGUUAUCCCCCC